rnacentral:lncRNA from 1 species
CAUGGAACGUGUAAACCUCGUGGCUUUCAUAUGUAAGGAGGCAGGAGACACUUUUCACACUUUCAAGAAGCGCAAAGAAGCCCUACCAAGGAAUACCCCAAGUUAUUUUAACAUUCUAUUGAGAAUUUCCAGCGGCCUUUUAACUGCCUUCUAGCUUCGCAUGUUAAGA